GAUGAACGCUGGCGGCGUGCCUAAUACAUGCAAGUCGAGCGAACAGACGAGGAGCUUGCUCCUCUGACGUUAGCGGCGGACGGGUGAGUAACACGUGGAUAACCUACCUAUAAGACUGGGAUAACUUCGGGACACCGGAGCUAAUACCGGAUAAUAUAUUGAACCGCAUGGUUCAAUAGUGAAAGACGGCUUUGCUGUCACUUAUAGAUGGAUCCGCGCCGCAUUAGCUAGUUGGUAAGGUAACGGCUUACCAAGGCGACGAUGCGUAGCCGACCUGAGAGAGUGAUCGGCCACACUGGAGCUGAGACACGGUCCAGACUCCUACGAGAGGCAGCAGUAGGGAAUCUUCCGCAAUGGGCGAAAGCCUGACGGAGCAACGCCGCGUGAGUGAUGAAGGUCUUCGGAUCGUAAAACUCUGUUAUUAGGGAAGAACAAAUGUGUAAGUAAAUAUGCACGUCUCGACGGUACCUAAUCAGAAAGCCACGGCUAACUACGUG
rnacentral:rRNA from 1 species